rnacentral:rRNA from 1 species
UACGGGGGGAGCAAGCGUUGUUCGGAUUUACUGGGCGUAAAGGGCGCGUAGGCGGCCACUGCAAGUCGGUUGUGAAAUCUCCGGGCUUAACCCGGAAAGGUCAACCGAUACUGCAGGGCUAGAGUGCGGAAGGGGCAACUGGAAUUCUCGGUGUAGCGGUGAAAUGCGUAGAUAUCGAGAGGAACACCUGCGGCGAAGGCGGGUUGCUGGGCCGACACUGACGCUGAUGCGCGAAAGCUAGGGGAGCAAACAGG